CGGAGGAUGCGAGCGUUAUCCGGAUUUAUUGGGUUUAAAGGGUGCGUAGGCUGGUAAUUAAGUCAGUGGUGAAAUACUCCGGCUCAACCGGGGGGCUGCCGUUGAUACUGGUUACCUUGAGUUUAGAUGAUGUGGGCGGAAUGUGUCAUGUAGCGGUGAAAUGCAUAGAGAUGACACAGAACACCGAUAGCGAAGGCAGCUCACAAAGCUAUUACUGACGCUGAUGCACGAAAGCGUGGGGAUCAAACAGGA
rnacentral:rRNA from 1 species